AGUUCUUUGGGAGCACCCUGGGAAACAGUGUGGCUAUGACUUGGAGCUGCUCACCAGUUCCAGUCAUUCUGUGGUUGAGAGCUGCUCCCUAUGGAUGUUAAUUCUUCUCUAUUUUAGAUUUUCCACAGGUGUGGGCCCCAUUAGCUCUGGCCACCUGAGAAAGCCCUCAGGCAAAGAGUCGCAGGUGAAAGCCAGCAGUUAGAGGUUCACAGAAAUGAGUGCAGAAGCAUCUUCAGUUGGAGAGCCAUUGCCUCUUGCUGUGAAAUAUUUGGGAAUCUUCAGAAACCAUGAAGAAUAACCUGCUAAAGCUGAGCUGGGACUCUGCCUGGAUAUAACUUAUGGCCUAUUCUAUAUGGAAAGUUGGUUUUCUCACAGUUCCACUCCCUUUCCAGAUAUCAGCAAAUGGCCCUCCUAGCCCAGAAGUCUCCAGAGAGGCCACCAAGUUCUAUUGAACAUCAUGAAUCCUAUGCUCAAGUGAGAUCAGCUCAAGUGAGACCAGAUAUCUGAAGACCUUUUCAUUUUCGCCACCCUCAAAUGAAGGCAUGCAAGGUAGGAGAUAAAAACUAUCAUGUGGAAGAUGCCCUCCCUGUGCCAAGAGAAAAGAAACAUUCUUCCAUGAAGACUCAUAGCCGAGAUAAUUCCGUAUAAACAGACCUUGUUAAAAGAAUUAUCUCCCUUUGGCCUCCCCACAAAAUUUAGAUACUUUUCCACAAUUGCCUCUUUACAAAAUCAUGUAAGCCUUGCUUUUUUUUUUAUCUUCAUUUUCUCAUGAGGGCUCCUGUGUCAUGUAAAAUAUGUUAAAUUUAUACGCUUUUCUCUUGUUAAUUUAUCUUACGUCAAUUUAAUUCUCAAGCCCAGCAGAGACCCUAGAAGGGCAGAGGUAAAUUUUUGCCUGCACUACACUAUUGAUCCCAAAACACACACACAGAGAGAGAGAGAGAGAAAGAGAGAGAGAGAAACUCUCUUCCUAUUCUGUGCCAGUGAAAUUCUGCCAUCAGCAAAUAUAUCUUUUCUGACUUUGAAAAUACUGAUGACAGUGGAGAUUAAAAUCCUACCAAGGCUGCUGCAGAAUCAAUGACACAUGAGGUGGCCAGGCAUGGUGGCUCACGACUGUAAUCCCAGCACUUUGGGAGGCCAAGGUGGGUGGAUCCCCUGAAGCCAAGAGUUCAAGACCAGCCAGGCUAACAUGGUGAAACUCCAUCUCUACUAAAAAUACAAAAAAUUAGCCGGGUGUGGUGGCACAUGCCUGUAAUCCCAGCUACUCAGGAGGCAGAGAGAGGAGAAUUGCCUGAGCCCAGAAGGUGGAGGUUGCAGUGAGCCGAGAUCAUGCCACUGCACUCCAGCCUGGGUAACAGAGUGAGACUCCGUCUCAAAAAAAAAAACAAAAAACAAAAAACAAAAAAAAAACACAUGAAGCUUUACCAGAAGAUUUCAGUAUGUCCUCCAGUGCGUAAUUCAUUUGUUCAACAAUUUUUACUGGGCAGGCAUUCUAAUAGAUGUUGAGGAUAUCACAAUAAAUAAGGCAAACAAAAUCUCUACCCUAUGGUAGAGAUUUUGAAAUAUCAAAUUAUUAAGUUUUAGGAAAAUUCAAUGACAAAAAGAAAGUCUUAUAAUAUUACCAUGUCCAGAUAAUGUAAGUAUUUACACAUUACUAUUUCAAUUUCAUUCAAUUUUUUUCUAAACUUUUAUUUUUUCAAACAUGUAAUCAUAAUAUAUUAGUGCUAAGUAUUAAAACAAUUUCUUAAUUCCCAUGUAAAUUUAAGGGUAUUUAAGCUUUUUUUUUUUUUUUUUUGAGACGGAGUUACACUCUUGUUGCUCAGGCUGGAGCUCAAUGGCGCGAUCUCAGCUCACCGCAACCUCCGCCUCAUGAGGUUCAAGCAAUUCUCCUGCCUCAGCCACCCCAAGUAGCUAGAAUUACAGGCAUGCGCCACCACGCACGUGGAAUCAGUUGUAUUGUUUCAAUACAACUUUUGGAAAUAAAAGUAUGGCAAAUUCUCACUCUCUUCCUUAGGUAAGCACCAAACUUUAAAAACAAAAGGCACUCACUAUAAGUGUGCUGUAGUGUUAUAAUGGCUAUGAGGUCAUUAAGAGAUAGGAAUUUUUCAGCCCGUUAUAAUCUUAGGGGACUAUUGUAUACGCAGUCUAUCAUUGACUAAAAUAUUAUUAGGCAGUAUAUGACUGUACUUUUGUUUAAGAUCUUAUGACAAAUCCAAAUAAAAA
rnacentral:lncRNA from 1 species